rnacentral:rRNA from 1 species
AGUGAACGCUGGCGGUAGGCCUAACACAUGCAAGUCGAACGCCAGCACAUUAAGCGCUUGCUCUUACGGGUGGCGAGUGACGGACGGGUGAGGAGUACAUCGGCAUCUACUUUUUCGUGGGCGAUAACGUAGGGAGACUUAUGCUACUACCUCAUACGACCUACGGCUGGAAGCAGGUGAUCAUCGUACAUUUCCCGAUCGAAUGAGCCGACGUCGGAUUAGCUAGUUGGCGGGGUAAAGACCCACCAAGCCGACGAUCCGUAGCUGGUCUGCGAGGAUGGCCAGCCAAACUGGAACUGAGACACGGUCAAGACUCCUACGGGAGGCGCAAGUGGGGAAUAUUGGACAAGGGGCGCAAGCCUGAUCCAGACAGACCGCGUGGGUGAGGAAGGCCUUCGGGUGGUAAAGCCCUUUUGUUGGGAAAGAAGAGCGGCAGGGUAAAACCCCGCUGUUCUGACGGUACCCAAAGAGUAAGCACCGGCUAACUUCGUG